AGCGAACGUUAGCGGCGGGCCUAACACAUGCAAGUCGAACGAGAAUGAGGGGGCAACUCCUCUAGUAAAGUGGCGGACGGGUGCGUAACACGUUGGUAAUCUACCUCCCGGCGGGGGACAACAGUCCGAAAGGAUUGCUAAUACCGCAUAAGUCGACGAGGUCUCCGGAUCUUGUCGGGAAAGACGGCCUCUCCUUGGAAGCUGUCACCGGAAGAUGAACCUGCGGCCCAUCAGCUAGUUGGGAGGUAACGGCUCACCAAGGCAAAGACGGGUAGCUGGUCUGAGAGGAUGAUCAGCCACACUGGGACUGCGACACGGCCCAGACUCCUACGGGAGGCAGCAGUGGGGAAUAUUGCGCAAUGGGCGGAAGCCUGACGCAGCGACGCCGCGUGAGGGGAUGACGGUCUUCGGAUUAGUAAACCUCUUUCAGCAGGGACGAAGCGCAAGUGACGGUACCUGCAGAAGAAGCACCGGCCAACUACGUGCCAGCCGCCGCUGUAA
rnacentral:rRNA from 1 species